UACGGAGGGGGCGAGCGUUAUUCGGAAUUAUUGGGCGUAAAGGGCGCGUAGGCGGCUUGGCAAGUGGAAGGUGAAAUCCCUCGGCUUAACCGAGGAACUGCCCUCCAAACUGCUUUGCUUGAGGCCGGGAGAGGUGAGUGGAAUUCCCAGUGUAGCGGUGAAAUGCGUAGAUAUUGGGAGGAACACCAGUGGCGAAGGCGGCUCACUGGACCGGUUCUGACGCUGAUGCGCGAAAGCGUGGGGAGCAAACGGG
rnacentral:rRNA from 1 species